CAGCAUGGAACGACUGCUAAUACCGGAUGUGCCGAGAGGUGAAAGGCUUGCUGCCUGAAGAUGAGCUUGCGUCUGAUUAGCUAGUUGGUGGGGUAAGAGCCUACCAAGGCGACGAUCAGUAGCUGGUCUGAGAGGAUGAUCAGCCACACUGGGACUGAGACACGGCCCAGACUCCUACGGGAGGCAGCAGUGGGGAAUUUUCCGCAAUGGGCGAAAGCCUGACGGAGCAAUACCGCGUGAGGGAGGAAGGCUCUUGGGUUGUAAACCUCUUUUCUCAGGGAAGAAAAAAAUGACGGUACCUGAGGAAUAAGCAUCGGCUAACUCCGUGCCAGCAGCCGCGGUAAUACGGAGGAUGCAAGCGUUAUCCGGAAUGAUUGGGCGUAAAGGGUCCGCAGGUGGCUAUGUAAGUCUGCUGUUAAAUAGUCAUGCUCAACAUGAUCAAGGCAGUGGAAACUACAAGGCUAGAGUGCGUUCGGGGCAGAGGGAAUUCCUGGUGUAGCGGUGAAAUGCGUAGAUAUCAGGAAGAACACCGGUGGCGAAAGCGCUCUGCUAGGCCGCAACUGACACUGAGGGACGAAAGCUAGGGGAGCGAAUGGGAUUAGAUACCCCNUUUAUCACAAGG
rnacentral:rRNA from 1 species